rfam:Salmo salar isolate Sally breed double haploid chromosome ssa13, whole genome shotgun sequence.
GUUCAGUUGGUAGAGCAUGGUGUUUGCAACGCCAGGGUUGUGGGUUCGAUUCCCAC